AGAGGGAUAGCUGGGUCAAAUGGUGGUUCCAUUUCCAGUUUUCCAAGGAAUCUCCACAUUGCUUUCCAUAUUGGCUGCACCAAUUUGCAGUCCCACCAGCAGU
rnacentral:pre_miRNA from 1 species